ACUAGCAGUAAGAGUUUGAUCCUGGCUCAGGACGAACGCUGGCGGCACGCCUAACACAUGCAAGUCGAACGGCCCCUUCGGGGGCAGUGGCGGACGGGUGAGUAACGCGUGGGAACCUGCCCCUUGGUUCGGGACAACCCGGGGAAACCCGAGCUAAUACCGAAUGCGCUCCCAGGCUUUGGUCUGGGAGGAAAGAUUUAUCGCCGAGGGAUGGGCCCGCGUCGGAUUAGGUAGUUGGUGAGGUAACGGCUCACCAAGCCUACGAUCCGUAGCUGGUCUGAGAGGAUGAUCAGCCACACUGGGACUGAGACACGGCCCAGACUCCUACGGGAGGCAGCAGUGGGGAAUCUUGGACAAUGGGGGCAACCCUGAUCCAGCGAUGCCGCGUGAGCGAUGAAGGCCUUAGGGUUGUAAAGCUCUUUCGCCCGCGAAGAUGAUGACGGUAGCGGGAGAAGAAGCCCCGGCUAACUCCGUGCCAGCAGCCGCGGUAAUAC
rnacentral:rRNA from 1 species